rnacentral:rRNA from 1 species
UACGUAGGGGGCAAGCGUUGUCCGGAAUGACUGGGCGUAAAGGGAGCGUAGACGGCAUGGCAAGUCUGAUGUGAAAACCCGGGGCUCAACCCCGGGACUGCAUUUGGAACUGUUAAGCUGGAGUGUCGGAGAGGCAGGCGGAAUUCCUAGUGUAGCGGUGAAAUGCGUAGAUAUUAGGAGGAACACCAGUGGCGAAGGCGGCCUGCUGGACGAUGACUGACGUUGAGGCUCGAAAGCGUGGGGAGCAAACAGG